GGGGAGGCCGGUCUCCUCGCGAGGGCCUGGGCCGCUCUGGGCGCUCGGCCCGCGUGUCGGGGGCUCCCCGGGGCGCCCUGGGCUCCUGCUGCUGUUUCUUCCUGGCCGGCCUUGAGGUGCGGAGCCCCCGGGCUCUGCUGAGGGCCUCCCGGCCCCGUGGCCUCGGUGACCUCGGUUCAGGCGUCCGUGACCGUCUCGCCUGGUGGCUCCGCGCCGCUGACCUCGGCACGCCGCGGGCCUUCCUCCUCUUGCGGACCGGAGGGAGAGCCGGGCGCAGAGACCGAGGCACAGUCGCGCGGCGCGGCGUUCCGCGUGACCCUGCGGUUAAAACCCGCGCGCUGCAGCAUCGCGGAAAACGGGAUUCGCCUCAUUUGAAACUUGAGGAAAAUCUCUAAACACUUUCAUUUUGAUAGAAACCAUUUCCGCCGCUGACGUGCGUCUACGCCCAUCAUUUCAGCUGACACGUUGCUGUAACGUCUCCUCCGUUUCAUGCUCUUUCGAACCCUGUCAGCUGCGGGAAGGAACUUCUAAACUAAAAGCUGGCAAGACUCAGCAGAAAAAAAAUAUCGAAAGCUGCUUCUGCUGCCCCAGCUUCACUCAGGCCCUGGCUGCUCCUUCACUGGUCUACACUGCUGCCUCCUGGAACCACCCACUCUGCAACCAGGUCUGAUGCCCGGUGUGGACAUUCAGGGAUGAGGUCCCCUGGGGCUAAAUGAAUGAACAGAUUCUGAAAAGCAGAAGCUACGUCCGGGGGUCUCUGGGCCACAAAUCACUUUCUGACCUGCAGCCGUGAGGCGUGAGGCUCACUCGGAAGCUCCCGGAACCUGGAGACUGCCCUCACUCAACACUUGAACAAGCAAGGGGCCAGGUUCAAUGAAACACCUGCCCGCCCGGCACACCAGGCUCAAAAGCAAGCAAGCAAGCAAACAAACAAACAAAAUCAAAUCAGGCCUUCACAACUCCCCAAAUCAUGUGUGAGUUUCUACAGAGCAGAAGCCAAAAAUAUAUGUUAUCUAACUAGGUCCUAUUUACAUAUAUUUUUAUGGCUGCUCUAAAAAAUUAUCACAAACAUAGCGGCUUCACCCCGUUUCCCCUGUUGUGAUUAUUACACAUUGGAUGCCUGUAUCAAAAUAUCUCAUGGACCCCAUAAAUAGCAACACCCUGUAUGUACUCAUGACAAUUUUUUAAAAAAGAACACUUACACUUUCCAUUUCUGCAGGUUAGACGUCUGAAAUGGUCUCCCUGGGCUAACAUCAGGUCUUGGGAGGGCUGGUUCCUUCUAGAGGCUCCAGGGGAGAACCCCUCGGCCCUCAGUCCCAUCCUCCGUCUUCAGAGCCAGUGGUGUCUCGUCACUGAGACCUGCUCUGCCCUCCGCCUCUAUGUUGAAGGGCCCGAGAUUCUACUGGGUCCCCCCGGAUAAUCCAGGGUCACCCCUCCGUGUCAGGCGGCUGACUGGCAGCCUCAUGUGUCCACAGUUUCCGUGCACCGGGAGGUGGGCAUGUUUAGGGGCCCCCAUUCUGCCUCCCAUGAGUCUGCAGGGCCUGACUUUGUAAUUUGGGAUCAUUCUUAGGGUACCCAGAUACAACAAACAAAAACGCAGCAAACAAAAACACAGGGUGCCCAGCUCAACAGGAAGUUUGGAGAAGCAGUGACUGAUUUUUUAGUGUAAGUCUGUCCCAAAUAUUGUAGAAUCCAUCCAAACGCUGCCGGACACCCUGUGUCUCAGCCGCAGGAUGGCCACGCUGCACACUUAGUGCGGGCCCGGAGCUGCCGGUGCAGAAGGGGGUUUCUGAGUUGGAGGGAUGCAGGUGCGGUUCCCCCCCAGCUUCCUUGGGAUGCCCAGUGUGGACAUACAGGGAUGAGGUCCCCUGGGGCUAAACGAAUGAACAGUUUUUGAAAAGCAGAAGCUACGUCCAGGGGGUUUCUGGGCCUCAAAUUGCGCAGACUUGCGGUGCUGGGGAGACGUUUUGCCUGCAGGCAGCAGGCUCUGAAUUGCCCUUUAGCUCCCGACCUGGGGUACAGCGAGAAGGAGGAGACGGAGGCAGACCGGCACGGGGUGGUCAGGGACAGCGGUGCUGACACACGGCUGCUCAAAGAUGACUUGGAACUCGAGGCCCAGCUCGUUAUUCUGGGGGUGACUGGCUCCCAGUGUCUGGACGGGUCUGAGCCCCACCACAGCUGGCCUGGACUGGACUGGAAACCGUGCCCAUUAACGACCCCUGGGCCACCCAGAGCCCCCAGCUCCGGAGACCCCGGGGUCUGGUUUGUGGCUGUUUGUCGCCCACGGGCCCCUCCACCAGCUCCUUUCGGUGAGUGUUGAUUCAGGGAGAACCGGACGGUCAGGCACUGGUUUACUCUCUGGAGGAAAGCAGGAAGCUGAGAAAAGCACUUCACUGCUGCCACACUGAGUGUGGCUUGUUUCCUAGAGAAGCCUCUGUGUGGUGGUCCCGGCCAGGCCGCGGAGCAGCGCAGCCUUGGGGGCGAGGCACCCUCCCCUCCCCAUGCCCAUGGGGCUCUCCUUCGGGACUUCAGCACCAGGGGAAGUUCUUUCUCCAGAGCAGCCGUCUUGGCCUUCAGGCUGGAGUGCGGCUCACAGAGGCCGGGCAGCCAGGAGACAGCGGCUCUGGGAUAUUCCAAACAUACUGGAGAGCUCACGUGUGUGCACAGGGAAGGGCGGCCGGUGAGCUUGAACUGAGGGUGCGGUCACCAGCCAAGUUUUCCAAGGAGGCGCCCUCCAGAUUCACACCUGGGUGCAGCUUGCGAUGUUUACAUUUUUUUAUUUUUUUGAGAUGAAGUCUUGCUCUGUCGCCCAGGCUGGGGUGCAAUGGCACCAUCUUGGCUCACUGCGACCUCCACCUCCCAAGUUCAAGUGAUUCUCCUGCCUCAGCCCCCUGAGUAGCUGGGAUUACAGGCGUGCGCCACCACGUCCAGCUAAUUUUUGUAUUUUUAGUAGAGACGGGGAUUCACCGUGUUGGCCAGGAUGGUCUCAAACUCCUGACCUCAGGUGAUCUGCCUGCCUCAGCCUCCUAAAGUGCUGGGAAUACGGGGGUGAGCCACCGUGCCUGGCCAGCUUGCAAUUUUUUUAGAGCCGUCUCUGAGUUCUCCAGCCACCAGAACCCUCGUAAAGAGGGGGUUGAAGCUCCCUUGGCCACAGGACAUUGGAGGGUAACGUGUAAGAAGACCUUCUCAGGGAACCCCCUAGUCCCGAAUUCUCUCCCUGGAUUCAGUAAGAAAUUAUAAUUAAUUUCUUUUUCAGUAAAAGGCAAAGCUAUUUUUAAAUUGCAAGCCUGAUUGAAUUAACAAAAUGUUAGACAAUUACCCGU
rnacentral:lncRNA from 1 species